GAUGAACGCUGGCGGCGUGCCUAAUACAUGCAAGUCGAGCGAACGGAUGAGAAGCUUGCUUCUCUGAUGUUAGCGGCGGACGGGUGAGUAACACGUGGAUAACCUACCUAUAAGACUGGGAUAACUUCGGGAAACCGGAGCUAAUACCGGAUAAUAUUUUGAACCGCAUGGUUCAAAAGUGAAAGACGGUCUUGCUGUCACUUAUAGAUGGAUCCGCGCUGCAUUAGCUAGUUGGUAAGGUAACGGCUUACCAAGGCAACGAUGCAUAGCCGACCUGAGAGGGUGAUCGGCCACACUGGAGCUGAGACACGGUCCAGACUCCUACGGGAGGCAGCAGUAGGGAAUCUUCCGCAAUGGGGGAAAGCCUGACGGAGCAACGCCGCGUGAGUGAUGAAGGUCUUCGGAUCGUAAAACUCUGUUAUUAGGGAAGAACAUAUGUGUAAGUAACUGUGCACAUCUUGACGGUACCUAAUCAGAAAGCCACGGCUAACUACGUG
rnacentral:rRNA from 1 species